rfam:Bombyx mori DNA, contig: Bm_scaf6_contig5695, strain: p50T/Dazao, build 2, whole genome shotgun sequence.
UUAACUCAAAUUUGUAUGGAGUUGGAACGUUAGCCUAAGUUUUUCGCUAGGGGCGCUGUUCCAACUCCAUACAAAUUUGAGUUA